rnacentral:rRNA from 1 species
AGUCAUAUGCUUGUCUCAAAGAUUAAGCCAUGCAUGUCUCAGUACAAGCCAAAUUAAGGUGAAACCGCGAAAGGCUCAUUAAAUCAGUUAUGGUUCCUUAGAUCGUACUCACAUUUACUUGGAUAACUGUGGUAAUUCUAGAGCUAAUACAUGCUAACAGAACUCUGACCGGAGACGGAAAGAGUGCUUUUAUUAGAUCAAAACCAAUCGGUGGCGGGCUCGCUCGUCAUCGUACAUCUUGGUGACACUGAAUAACUUUUGCUGAUCGCACGGUCUCGCACCGGCGACGCAUCUUUCAAAUGUCUGCCUUAUCAACUGUCGAUGGUAGGUUCUGCGCCUACCAUGGUUGUAACGGGUAACGGGGAAUCAGGGUUCGAUUCCGGAGAGGGAGCCUGAGAAACGGCUACCACAUCCAAGGAAGGCAGCAGGCGCGCAAAUUACCCACUCCCGGCACGGGGAGGUAGUGACGAAAAAUAACGAUACGGGACUCAUCCGAGGCCCCGUAAUCGGAAUGAGUACACUCUAAACCUUUUCACAAGGAUCAAUUGGAGGGCAAGUCUGGUGCCAGCAGCCGCGGUAAUUCCAGCUCCAAUAGCGUAU